rnacentral:rRNA from 1 species
GACGAACGCUGGCGGCGUGCUUAACACAUGCAAGUCACGGGGGCCCGCAAGGGCAACCGGCGAACGGGUGCGUAACACGUGAGCAACCUGCCCGCUUCUGGGGGAUAGCCGGCCCAACGGCCGGGUAAUACCGCAUACGUUCUCGUCGGGGCAUCCCGGUGAGAGGAAAGCAGCGAUGCGGAAGCGGUGGGGCUCGCGGCCUAUCAGCUAGUUGGUGGGGUAAUGGCCCACCAAGGCGACGACGGGUAGCUGGUCUGAGAGGAUGGCCAGCCACAUUGGGACUGAGAGACGGCCCAGACUCCUACGGGAGGCAGCAGUGGGGAAUCUUGCGCAAUGGCCGAAAGGCUGACGCAGCGACGCCGCGUGGGGGAGGAAGGCCUUCGGGUUGUAAACCCCUGUUGCCCGGGACGAACCCCUGGUUUCGACCAGGUUGACGGUACCGGGUGAGGAAGCACCGGCUAACUCCGUGCCAGCAGCCGCCGUAAAAC